GAUCAUGGCUCAGGACGAGCGCUGGCGGCGUGCCUAACACAUGCAAGUCGAACGGUUGAGAGGUGAGAGUUGGGAGGUUAGAAGUGAGAGCUUGAAGGUAUUGGCCAACAUGCCAAUACCAGCAAUGAAGUCUCACAUCCCGCUUCCCACAUCUCACUUCUCAAUAGUGGCGGACGGGUGAGUAACGCGUGGGCAACCUACCCAUCAGACUGGGAUAACACCGGGAAACUGGUGCUAAUACCGGAUACGCUUAUGGAGGGGCAUCCCUUUGUAAGGAAAGAAAAUCGCUGAUGGAUGGGCCCGCGUCUGAUUAGCUAGUUGGUGGGGUAGUGGCCUACCAAGGCGACGAUCAGUAGCCGGCCUGAGAGGGUGACCGGCCACACUGGGACUGAGACACGGCCCAGACUCCUACGGGAGGCAGCAGUGGGGAAUAUUGCGCAAUGGGGGAAACCCUGACGCAGCAACGCCGCGUGAGUGACGAAGGCCUUCGGGUCGUAAAGCUCUGUCGACAGGGACGAAUAGAUGACGGUACCUGAGGAGGAAGCCCCGGCUAACUACGUGCCAGCAGCCGCGGUAAUACGUAGGGGGCGAGCGUUGUCCGGAAUUAUUGGGCGUAAAGGGCGUGUAGGCGGGUACCUAAGUCAGUGGUGAAAACCGACGGCUCAACCGGAGGCAUGCCAUUGAAACUGGGUAUCUUGAGGGC
rnacentral:rRNA from 1 species